rnacentral:tRNA from 1 species
GUGGAUGUAGUUCAAUGGUAGAGCGCCAGAUUGUGGUUCUGGUUGUUGCGGGUUCAAGUCCCGUCAUCCACCCGA